UUGGGAAUAUGGUGUUGAUGCUGCCCAUUUUGAUUACGAUUUACAGAAUCCCUUCCUUGCUAUCUACCCUCAAGAAAACACCGUUGAAUGGUUUUACCACCGUAGUUCUUAAGGA
rnacentral:ribozyme from 1 species